CUAGGAACUUGAGUUUGGAACAGGUUCUGCAUGUCUGGGAAACUCAGGUUCGGCCGCCGAACCCCUUGGGGGAGGCUGUUUUGGCCGCCUAAACUCGCCCCCGAAAGUUUGAACUUUCGGCUCUGGAGGGGAGUUUCGGCCGCCGAACAUGCCGCCGAAGGUGGGUGACUUUCGGCUCUAGAAGGUCUUUCAGCCCCGAACCUUGCCCCCGAAAGUUUGGACUUUCUAAUUUGG
rnacentral:lncRNA from 1 species